GACGAACGCUGGCGGCGUGCUUAACACAUGCAAGUCGAACGGAAAGGCCCUGCUUGCCGGGUACUCGAGUGGCGAACGGGUGAGUAACACGUGGGUGAUCUGCCCUGCACUUCGGGAUAAGCCUGGGAAACUGGGUCUAAUACCGGAUAGGAGCCAUUUUUAGUGUGAUGGUUGGAAAGUUUUUUCGGUGUAGGAUGGGCUCGCGGCCUAUCAGCUUGUUGGUGGGGUAAUGGCCUACCAAGGCGGCGACGGGUAGCCGGCCUGGGAGGGUGGACGGCCACAAUGGGGCUGGGGUACGGGCCAGACUCCUACGGGGGGCAGCAGUGGGGAAUAUUGCACAAUGGGCGCAAGCCUGAUGCAGCGACGCCGCGGGGGGGAUGACGGCCUUCGGGUUGGAAACUCCUUUCGCUAGGGACGAAGCUUUUUGUGACGGUACCUAGAGAAGAAGCACCGGCUAACUACGUG
rnacentral:rRNA from 1 species